rnacentral:rRNA from 1 species
AUUGAACGCUGGCGGCAUGCCUUACACAUGCAAGUCGAACGGUAACAGGUCUUCGGAUGCUGACGAGUGGCGAACGGGUGAGUAAUACAUCGGAACGUGCCCGAUCGUGGGGGAUAACGAGGCGAAAGCUUUGCUAAUACCGCAUACGAUCUACGGAUGAAAGCGGGGGAUCUUCGGACCUCGCGCGGACGGAGCGGCCGAUGGCAGAUUAGGUAGUUGGUGGGAUAAAAGCUUACCAAGCCGACGAUCUGUAGCUGGUCUGAGAGGAUGAUCAGCCACACUGGGACUGAGACACGGCCCAGACUCCUACGGGAGGCAGCAGUGGGGAAUUUUGGACAAUGGGCGAAAGCCUGAUCCAGCCAUGUCGCGUGCAGGAUGAAGGCCUUCGGGUUGUAAACUGCUUUUGUACGGAACGAAAAGCCUCUUUCUAAUAAAGAGGGGUCAUGACGGUACCGUAAGAAUAAGCACCGGCUAACUACGUG